ACCUGGCUGGCUCAGUCAGUAGAGCAUGUGACUCUUAAUCUCAGGGUUGUGAGUUCAAGCCCCAAGUUGGGCA
rnacentral:tRNA from 1 species